AGCGAACGUUUGCGGCGGGCCUAACACAUGCAAGUCGAACGGGCUAGCAAUAGUCAGUGGCGCACGGGUGCGUAACACGUGGGUAAUCAACCCUUCAGCUCGGGAUAACGCCUUGAAAGGGGCGCUAAUACCGGAUGCGACGCGAGGAGCCUCGGCGCUUCGCGGGAAAGAUUCGCAAGGAUCACUGAAGGACGAGCCUGCGGCCCAUCAGCUAGUUGGUGAGGUAAGAGCUCACCAAGGCGAAGACGGGUAGCUGGUCUGAGAGGAUGAUCAGCCACACUGGAACUGAGACACGGUCCAGACUCCUACGGGAGGCAGCAGUGGGGAAUAUUGCGCAAUGGGCGAAAGCCCGACGCAGCCACGCCGCGUGAGCGAUGAAGGCC
rnacentral:rRNA from 1 species